rnacentral:miRNA from 1 species
CACACAUAGCAGGUGUAUAUA